UUAUAACAGCAUCUAAAUAUAGGUGAAAGCUGUCAUACCUGACUCUACAAGUGAAUCCUUUGAUAUUCAAGAGAGCUCUGACACCCCGAAGCUUUAUGAUGAGAGUUCUAGAAUAGCUAUGGGAGGUUCUGUUCUUUCUCAUUCCAUUUCCACAAUUCAGAUAUCAGAUAUAGCGGUUGCAAUCUCCCGCCCUUCUGUCUAAAGAUCUCAGAUAAAGCAGUUAAAAUCUCCCUUCCUCUGGUCUAGUGAUCUCAAAUUUAGCAAUUAUAAUCUCCCGCCCUCCUGUCCAGAGAUUUCAGAUAUCCCGCCCUCCUGUCUAUAAUCUCCCACCCUCCUGUCUAGAGAUCUCAGAUAAAGCGGUUAUAAUCUCCCGACCUCCUGUCCAGAGAUUUUAGAUAUCCCGCCCUCCUGUCUAUAAUCUCCCACCCUCCUGUCUAGAGAUCUCAGAUAUAGCUGUUAUAAUCUCCCGCCCUCCUGUCUAGAGAUCUCAGAUAAAGCUGUUGCAAUCUCCCGGCCUUCUGACAAGAUAUCUCAGAUAUAGCGGUUGCAAACUCCUGACCUUCUGACAAGAUACCUCAGAUAUAGCUCUUGUAAACUCCUGACCUCCUGUCUAUAGAUCUCAGAUAUAGCUGUUAUAAUCUCCCGCCCUCCUAUCUAGAGAUCUCAGAUAUAGCUUUUAUAAUCUCCCGCCCUCCUGUCUAGAGAUCUCAGAUAAAGCUGUUGCAAUCUCCCGGCCUUCUGACAAGAUAUCUCAGAUAUAGCGGUUGCAAACUCCUGACCUUCUGACAAGAUACCUCAGAUAUAGCUGUUGUAAACUCCUGACCUCCUGUCUAGAGAUCUCAGAUAUAGCUGUUAUAAUCUCCCGCCCUCCUGUCUAGAGGUCUCAGAUAAAGCGGUUGCAAUUACCCGGCCUCCUGUCUAGAAAUCUCAGAUAAAGCUGUUGCAAUCUCCCGGCCUUAUGUCAAGAUAUCUCAAAUAUAGCGGUUGCAAUCUUCCGCCGUCUUGUUAAGAGAUCAACACUAUUUAAAAUUCUUAGACCAUCAGAGGGUUUGGUUACACUCUUUUAGACCACUUAAAAGCGAGCAUUAAAAACUGCUAUUUUAAUCUUUACCAACUUUGAAAUUUUAAGGAGAAAAAAACAUCAUCCAACCAAUAUCUACCAUAUUCAAGCAAUACUUCAUACAGUGCUCAUCUAAAGAACCCGGAAUGAUAUUUAAUUGACUGAAGACUUGAAAACGCCUUUCAAGUCUUUAAUCAAUUUCCGGGAUAAGCAGUGUAGCUAUUUAAUCAAUUUCCGGGAUAAGCAGUGUAGCUAUUUAAUCAAUUUCCGGGAUAAGCAGUGUAGCUAUUUAAUCAAUUUCCGGGAUUAGCAGUGUAGCUAUUUAAAAUUUAGUCGUAAAUUAUAAAAAAAAUUGGUAUUUAAGUUGAUCGUUUUUGAUGUUUAUUUGCUUGAUUCUUUUAUAUAUUUCCACUUAACAAGAAUUCUUGAUUUAACAUCGAAUUUCGAAUUUAUAUGUUAUUGAUACUUAAUCUUCUCCUCCAACGAAGUAGAGGGGGGGGGGGGUCUGAAAACUUAUGAAUUUGUGAUAGUUUUUUAUGUAUUAUCUAAUUGUGAAGAACAAUAAAUUUGUAUAAUCUAA
rnacentral:lncRNA from 1 species